rnacentral:rRNA from 1 species
ACUCAAAGGAAUAGACGGGGGCCCGCACAAGCGGUGGAGCAUGUGGUUUAAUUCGACGCAACGCGAAGAACCUUACCUGGGCUCGAACGGCUGCAGACCGUGGCAGAAACGCCAUUUUCCCGCAAGGGACUGUAGUCGAGGUGCUGCAUGGCUGUCGUCAGCUCGUGUCGUGAGAUGUUGGGUUAAGUCCCGCAACGAGCGCAACCCUUGUCCUGUGUUGCCAUCAUUAAGUUGGGCACUCUCAGGAGACCGCCAGCGAUAAGUUGGAGGAAGGUGGGGAUGACGUCAAGUCAUCAUGGCCUUUAUGUCCAGGGCUACACACGUGCUACAAUGGGCGGUACAAUACGCUGCAAACCCGCGAGGGGGAGCCAAUCGUAAAAAACCGCUCUCAGUUCGGAUUGCAGGCUGCAACUCGCCUGCAUGAAGCUGGAAUCGCUAGUAAUGGCAUAUCAGAAUGAUGCCGUGAAUACGUUCCCGGGCCUUGUACACACCGCCCGU